AUGGCUGGCCAGUUUAAAGGCACGAGCGGCAGCUCCGCUCCUCAGAACGACUACUGCUCAUCUUUAUCUAGCAACAAGAUUGUAAGCGAGAGAUUACCAAGUGAGUCUUCAACUCAUACACCUGGAGGCAAAGUUGAAGUUGAAAUAAAGUAGCGUGUCGGCCAUUUCGAUAUUUUGGCUUGGACCCAGACGUCUAGAAGACACCUACAAGAUGAAAAUGCGUUUGGCGACCAUCUUUUCGAUUGCCAUCCUUCUGGGUAACUCUGGCAAGCUCCGAGGUCAACCUGCUGAGUCACAU